CCNUGGUAGUCCAUGCUGUAAACGGUGGGCGCUAGGUGUGGGCUGUGUGUUUGCANUCUGUGCCGUAGCUAACGCAUUAAGCGCCCCGCCUGGGGAGUACGGCCGCAAGGCUAAAACUCAAAGGAAUUGACGGGGGCCCGCACAAGCGGCGGAGCAUGUGGAUUAAUUCGAUGCAACGCGAAGAACCUUACCUGGGUUUGACAUGCACCAGAUCGGCGUAGAGAUACGUUUUCCCUUGUGGUUGGUGCACAGGUGGUGCAUGGUUGUCGUCAGCUCGUGUCGUGAGAUGUUGGGUUAAGUCCCGCAACGAGCGCAACCCUUGUCUUAUGUUGCCAGCACAUUUUUUGGUGGGGACUCAUGAGAAACUGCCGGGGUCAACUCGGAGGAAGGUGGGGAUGACGUCAAAUCAUCAUGCCCUUUAUACCCAGGGCUUCACACAUGCUACAAUGGUCGGUACAACGGGUUGCGACACUGUGAAGUGAAGCUAAUCUCUGAAAGCCGGCCUCAGUUCGGAUUGGGGUCUGCAACUCG
rnacentral:rRNA from 1 species